rnacentral:misc_RNA from 1 species
UUUCCGUAGGUGAACCAGCGGAAGGAUCAUUACUGUAUAACCAAGGUGCGAGGGCCGUCGUUGACCCUUAACGCUGAGCACGCCCGAGUGCCCUCACACACAUCCAUCUCACCCCUCCGUGCACCACCGCGGGGGCCCCCCUUUGGCUUGUUCGGAGGGGGGCUUUCGUUUUCACCCACUCUUUGUUUGCAGUGUAGUAUGUAUUUUUUGUUUUUCCAAACCCGCAAUCUAUACAACUGUCAACAACGGAACCCUUGCCUCUCGCAACGACGAAGAACC